rnacentral:rRNA from 1 species
UGAGGAAUAUUGGACAAUGGGCGCAAGCCUGAUCCAGCCAUGCCGCGUGCAGUGAGAAGCAUCUAUGGUGUGUAAACUGCUUUUGUACGGGAAGAAACACUCCUACGUGUAGGAGCUUUACGGUACCGUAAGAAUAAGGAUCGGCUAACUCCGUGCCAGCAGCCGCGGUAAUACGGAGGAUCCAAGCGUUAUCCGGAAUCAUUGGGUCUAAAGGGUCCGUAGGCGGUUUAGUAAGUCAGUGGUGAAAGCCCAUCGCUCAACGAUGGAACGGCCAUUGAUACUGCUAGACUUGAAUUAUUAGGAAGUAACUAGAAUAUGUAGUGUAGCGGUGAAAUGCUUAGAUAUUACAUGGAAUACCAAUUGCGAAGGCAGGUUACUACUAAUGGAUUGACGAUGAUGGACGAAAGCGUGGGGAGCGAACA